rnacentral:rRNA from 1 species
AGCGAACGCUGGCGGCAGGCCUAACACAUGCAAGUCGAACGAACCUUUCGGGGUUAGUGGCGGACGGGUGAGUAACACGUGGGAACGUGCCUUUAGGUUCGGAAUAACUCAGGGAAACUUGUGCUAAUACCGAAUGUGCCCUUCGGGGGAAAGAUUAAUCGCCUUUAGAGCGGCCCGCGUCUGAUUAGCUAGUUGGUUGAGGUAAUGGCUCACCAAGGCGACGAUCAGUAGCUGGUCUGAGAGGAUGAUCAGCCACAUUGGGACUGAGACACGGCCCAAACUCCUACGGGAGGCAGCAGUGGGGAAUCUUGCGCAAUGGGCGAAAGCCUGACGCAGCCAUGCCGCGUGAAUGAUGAAGGUCUUAGGAUUGUAAAAUGCUUUCACCGGGGACGAUAAUGACGGUACCCGGAGAAGAAGCCCCGGCUAACUUCGUG